UACGUAGGGGGCUAGCGUUGUCCGGAAUUAUUGGGCGUAAAGAGCUUGUAGGCGGUUUGUCGCGUCUGCUGUGAAAAUCCGGGGCUCAACCCCGGACUUGCAGUGGGUACGGGCAGACUAGAGUGUGGUAGGGGAGACUGGAAUUCCUGGUGUAGCGGUGAAAUGCGCAGAUAUCAGGAGGAACACCGAUGGCGAAGGCAGGUCUCUGGGCCACUACUGACGCUGAGAAGCGAAAGCAUGGGGAGCGAACAGG
rnacentral:rRNA from 1 species